UUUUUUUUUUUUUAAGACAGGGUUUUGCCCUGGCUGCAGUGCAUCAGCGCAAUCACAGCUCACUGCAAUCUCGAACUCCUGGGCUCAAGCGAUCCUCCUGCCUCAGUCUUUUGAGCAGCUGGGACUGCUGGUACAUGCCACCAUGCCUGGCUAAUUUAAAAUUUUUCUUUUGUAGAGACGGGACCUCGCUAUGUUGACCAGGAAGGUUUCAAACUCCCAGCCUCAAGUGAUCCUCCUGCUUCAGCCUCCCAAAGUGCUGGGAUUACAGGAUCCUUGAAUGGAAUGCAAGGAGAAGGAAAAGAGAAGGAGGCAGUGCCCUUCACAGGAGGACUUUUUGGUUGCUGCUGGAACACGAGGGGGGAGCCAAGCUCAGAGAGGCACAGUUGGUACCUCAAGUUCCCACAGUUAGACAGCGAUGGAGCUGGGGUUUGAACGAAGGCAGUCUGAUUCUUGGGCCCAUCCUCUG
rnacentral:lncRNA from 13 species